AUACGGAGGGGGCUAGCGUUGUUCGGAAUCACUGGGCGUAAAGCGCUCGUAGGCGGACCAGUCAGUCAGAGGUGAAAUCCCAAGGCUCAACCUUGGAACUGCCUUUGAUACUGCUGGUCUUGAGGUCGAGAGAGGUAAGUGGAAUUCCUAGUGUAGAGGUGAAAUUCGUAGAUAUUAGGAAGAACACCAGUGGCGAAGGCGGCUUACUGGCUCGAUUCUGACGCUGAGGAGCGGAAGCGUGGGGAGCAAACAGGAUUAGAAACCCUAGUAGUCC
rnacentral:rRNA from 1 species